GACGAACGCUGGCGGCGUGCUUAACACAUGCAAGUCGAACGGAAAGGCCCUGCUUGCAGGGUACUCGAGUGGCGAACGGGUGAGUAACACGUGGGUGAUCUGCCCUGCACUUCGGGAUAAGCCUGGGAAACUGGGUCUAAUACCGGAUAGGAGCCAUUUUUAGUGUGAUGGUUGGAAAGUUUUUUCGGUGUAGGAUGAGCUCGCGGCCUAUCAGCUUGUUGGUGGGGUAAUGGCCUACCAAGGCGGCGACGGGUAGCCGGCCUGAGAGGGUGGACGGCCACAUUGGGACUGAGAGACGGCCCAGACUCCUACUGGAGGCAGCAGUGGGGAAUAUUGCACAAUGGGCGCAAGCCUGAUGCAGCGACGCCGCGUGGGUGAUGACGGCCUUCGGGUUGUAAACUCCUUUCGCUAGGGACGAAGCUUUUUGUGACGGUACCUAGAUAAGAAGCACCGGCUAACUACGUG
rnacentral:rRNA from 1 species